GACGAACGCUGGCGGCGUGCUUAACACAUGCAAGUCGAACGGAAAGGCCCUGCUUUUGUGGGGUGCUCGAGUGGCGAACGGGUGAGUAACACGUGAGUAACCUGCCCUUGUCUUUGGGAUAACUUCAGGAAACGGGGGCUAAUACCGGAUAGGAGCUCCUGCUGCAUGGUGGGGGUUGGAAAGUUUCGGCGGGUGGGGAUGGACUCGCGGCUUAUCAGCUUGUUGGUGGGGUAGUGGCUUACCAAGGCUUUGACGGGUAGGCGGCAUGGGAGGGUGGCCGGCCACAUUGGGACUGCGGGACGGCCCAGACUCGUACAGGAGGCAGCAGUGGGGAAUAUUGCACAAUGGGCGGAAGCCUGAUGCAGCGACGCCGCGUGCGGAAUGACGGCCUUCGGGGUAUAAACCGCUUUCGCCUGUGACGAAGCGUGAGUGACGGUAAUGGGUAAAGAAGCACCGGCUAACUACGUG
rnacentral:rRNA from 1 species